rnacentral:misc_RNA from 1 species
UUAAGUUCAGCGGGUAGUCUUACUUGAUUUGAGAUCGAGUUUACAAAGUCGGCCGAAGCCUGUCUUUGUGAAUCCUGCAUCAGUCAGCACAAGAACUAAUCUCCUUUAUGUUAGCUGCAGCAAAGGUAAUAAUCUGUUUUUUAGGCAGACUAAAUAGAUAUGCUUAUAGCUCAGAGAAAAGUCCAGCUGCACCUGCAUUU